CCCAACUAUCCCUAUUAAUCAUUACGUCAAUCCUAGAAACCAACAAAAUAGGAUCGAACGUCCUAUUUCAUUAUUCCAUGCUAAUGUAUUCAAGCGAUCGCCUGCUUUAAACACUCUAAUUUUUUCAAAGUAACAGUCCUGUUUCCCCGCAACACCAAAUUAAUGGCAUUACGGUUCUACAAGAAGGAGGAACCACCGAGACCAGUACAUACCGGAGGCACGACCGACCUGAUGAUCCCGAAAUUCAACUA
rnacentral:rRNA from 1 species